AUACGUAGGGAGCAAGCGUUGUCCGGAUUUACUGGGUGUAAAGGGUGCGUAGGCGGCUCUGCAAGUCAGGCGUGAAAACUAUGGGCUUAACUCAUAGACUGCGUUUGAAACUGUGGAGCUUGAGUGAAGUAGAGGUAGGCGGAAUUCCCGGUGUAGCGGUGAAAUGCGUAGAGAUCGGGAGGAACACCAGUGGCGAAGGCGGCCUACUGGGCUUUAACUGACGCUGAAGCACGAAAGCAUGGGUAGC
rnacentral:rRNA from 1 species